GUGCUCGCUUCCGCAGCACAUAUACUAAAAUU
rnacentral:snRNA from 1 species